ensembl:lncRNA
UGAAAACCGCGGCAAUGGCCAUCAAAAAACCAACAACUUCCUCUGUCGCCUGCUCACUUCCUGUUUCUGCGUCUGAGGGCCCAACGGUGCAGUGAUGAUUAGCUGGGCCUUUGCGUGACAAUCAAGCAGCCAGACGCUCUUAGUUUCCCCCAUUCAGACCGGAAGCAGCACUAUUGCAACGAAUCAUCUGUGAAAUCUGUCUGCAGCCUUUCAAAAACAGGAAGUGUAACUGAGAUCUGAUAAAGACCCUCUCGAUUUCAUCUAGAUCACAUGGGCAUCAGUCAUCAGGUGUCUCACUGGGUCGUGUCCCAUGAAGGCAAAUAUUGCUCAUCUGAAAAAAAAAAGAACCAGGAUAUUUCACAAAAUGAUGCCUUUGCAAUCAAGGAUGUCAUGCACCUGCCUCAGGACUUCUCUGAACCAAAUGAGUGAUGGGCCCAACUGAAAGCAGGUCAUACCAACCGCACAACUAACCAUGGAACACACACACACUUAUACACUCACACACAGAGCCAGUUUAACAUGGAACACAAACGCUCACACUUCACACACACAUCCACUUUACCGUGGAACACUCAUUUCUCAACCUGUGGUCACAUCCCUACCCAGAAUGCACUCUGGCUGCGGUGACUCAUGACAUUCUGAUAAUCACCCAAAAACUGAAGUUCCACAGAACUUGAAUGUGUGUGUUAGUGGGGGUGUAAGGAAAGUGAUGCACGGAUUUACAAAUGUACAGAUAGAUAGAUGUAUGGAUGUACGGAUGGAUGAUGAACAAAUUAAUGUUGAAUUAUUAAUGGAUAUUAAAUGUAAUUUUCAUUUGUUUCUUAAAUUCACAUUUUUACUCCAAUUGCAAUUUCUUUAAAAAAAAA